rnacentral:rRNA from 1 species
UACAGAGGUCCCAAGCGUUGUUCGGAUUCACUGGGCGUAAAGGGUGCGUAGGUGGUCGGGUAAGUCUGAUGUGAAAUCUCCGAGCCUAACUCGGAAACUGCAUCGGAUACUAUUCGGCUUGAGGGUUGGAGGGGGGACUGGAAUACUUGGUGUAGCAGUGAAAUGCGUAGAUAUCAAGUGGAACACCAGUGGCGAAGGCGAGUCCCUGGACAAACUCCUGACACUGAGGCACGGAAAGCUAGGGGGAGCAAACAGG